rnacentral:sRNA from 1 species
CUGCAAUGCCCUCCUUGGGCGUUUCCUCCCUAGACUUGGGGCCGCCGUGGCGACACAGCGGCCUCCUUUCUUUUCUAG